rnacentral:rRNA from 1 species
GACGAACGCUGGCGGCGUGCUUAACACAUGCAAGUCGAACGGACAGGCCCUGCUUUUGUGGGGUGCUCGAGUGGCGAACGGGUGAGUAACACGUGAGUAACCUGCCCUUGUCUUUGGGAUAACUUUAGGAAACUGGGGCUAAUACCGGAUAGGAGCUCCUGCUGCAUGGUGGGGGUUGGAAAGUUUCGGCGGUUGGGGAUGGACUCGCGGCUUAUCAGCUUGUUGGUGGGGUAGUGGCUUACCAAGGCUUUGACGGGUAGCCGGCCUGAGAGGGUGACCGGCCACAUUGGGACUGAGAUACGGCCCAGACUCCUACGGGAGGCAGCAGUGGGGAAUAUUGCACAAUGGGCGGAAGCCUGAUGCAGCAACGCCGCGUGCGGGAUGACGGCCUUCGGGUUGUAAACCGCUUUCGCCUGUGACGAAGCGUGAGUGACGGUAAUGGGUAAAGAAGCACCGGCUAACUACGUG